AUACCUUUCUCGGCCUUUUGGCUAAGAUCAAGUGUAGUAUUUGUUCUUAUCAGUUUAAUAUCUGAUAUGUGGGUCAUGUGCCCACAAUGAUAUUAAAUUUAUUUUUUAUGGGGGAGGGUCCACCACAGUGGCUUGCCAUUGGGGCCCUCAAGUGUCGUCUGGGCGUUGCACUACAGCCCAGGCAGGCGCACCCCAA
rnacentral:snRNA from 2 species